rnacentral:rRNA from 1 species
AGUCACUGACAUUAGAUACCCCCGUAGUCCAGGGUGUAAACGCUGCAGACUUGGUGUUGGAGGCCCUUUGGGGGCAUUCAGUGCCGGAGAGAAGUUGUUAAGUCUGCCGCCUGGGAAGUACGGUCGCAAGGCUGAAACUUAAAGGAAUUGGCGGGGAGCACCACAACGGGCGGAGCCUGCGGUUUAAUUGGACUCAACGCCGGAAAUCUCACCGGAUAGGACAGACAUAUGAUAGUCGGGCUGAAGACUCUACUUGAUGAUCUG